rnacentral:rRNA from 1 species
UACGCAGGAGGCAAGCGUUAUCCGGAAUUAUUGGGCGUAAAGCGUCCGCAGGUGGCAGUUCAAGUCUGCUGUCAAAGACCGGGGCUUAACUUCGGAAAGGCAGUGGAAACUGAACAGCUAGAGUAUGGUAGGGGCAGAGGGAAUUCCUGGUGUAGCGGUGAAAUGCGUAGAGAUCAGGAAGAACAUCGGUGGCGAAGGCGCUCUGCUGGACCAUAACUGACACUCAGGGACGAAAGCUAGGGGAGCGAAUGGG